UACGUAGGCGGAAAAUUAAGUCAGUAGUGAAAUCCUGCAGCUUAACUGUAGAACUGUUAUUGAUACUGGUUUUCUUGAAUAUAGUUGAGGUAGGCGGAAUGUGUAAUGUAGCGGUGAAAUGCUUAGAUGUUACACAGAACACCGAUUGCGAAGGCAGCUUACUAAGCUAUGAUUGACGCUGAGGUACGAAAGCGUGGGGAGCGAACAGGAUUAGAUACCCUGGUAGUCC
rnacentral:rRNA from 1 species